rnacentral:rRNA from 1 species
UACGUAGGGGGCAAGCGUUGUCCGGAAUUAUUGGGCGUAAAGAGCGUGUAGGCGGUCCGGUAAGUCAGCUGUGAAAGUCAAGGGCUCAACCCUUGAAUGCCGGUUGAUACUGUCGGGCUAGAGUCCGGAAGAGGCGAGUGGAAUUCCUGGUGUAGCGGUGAAAUGCGCAGAUAUCAGGAAGAACACCGAUGGCGAAGGCAGCUCUCUGGGACGGUACUGACGCUGAGACGCGAAAGCGUGGGGAGCGAACAGG